rnacentral:rRNA from 1 species
GAUCAUGGCUCAGGACGAACGCUGGCGGCAUGCUUAACACAUGCAAGUCGAACGAGCUGAUUCCUUCGGGAUGAAAGCGAGUGGCGAACGGGUGAGUAAUGUAUGAGUAACCUGCCUCUGUCUACGGGAUAACAUUUGGAAACAAGUGCUAAUACGGUAUAAGACCACAGCACCGCAUGGUGCAGGGGUAAAAGAUUUAUCGGAUAGAGAUGGACUCAUAUCCCAUUAG